UUUAUUGGACUAAGUACCCUAAAGGCAUCAGAUUCCACCUGUUCUCGGAAGCGAAACAGGGUCAGUCCUGGUUAAUACUGGGAUUAGAGAACAGCAACAAAUACCAGGUGCUGAAAGCU
rnacentral:rRNA from 11 species